UACGUAGGGUGCGAGCGUUGUCCGGAAUUACUGGGCGUAAAGGGCUCGUAGGCGGCCAACUAAGUCAUACGUGAAAUCCCUCAGCUUAACUGGGGAACUGCGUGUGAUACUGGAUGGCUUGGAUUUGGGAGAGGGAUGCGGAAUUCCAGGUGUAGCGGUGAAAUGCGUAGAUAUCUGGAGGAACACCGGUGGCGAAGGCGGCAUCCUGGACCAAUAUUGACGCUGAGGAGCGAAAGCUAGGGGAGCAAACGGG
rnacentral:rRNA from 1 species